CACAAAUGUUCCUCUUGCAUUGCAGCUGUUCGGUUGCUCUGCAGGCAGUCAUCUGCACCAGAGCCGAGGAGAGCGGGGCUUCUCUGUCAGCACAGGUGGGGCUUAUGGAGCAGCCUCGGGCACGAAGCCACAGAACUGCAGCUCUUUGCAGAUGCAGCAGCACCCACUCAGAGGUCUUGGGACAGCCCACUGGGCCCUGUGACAUGAGGAGGCCCUCCAGGCUCCACCUACGGGGUGACCGCCCAGCUGAGCUCUAACCACGGCAAGGGCAACAUUCUUACCUCCUCUGUGGGGAGCCCUAGGCUGCGUGAGACCUGGCCAGCCACCUGUCCCGAAGCCCAGGACGACCCACGCCAGCCUGGCCCACAUGCACGCGGGCCUCGCCUCCCCUCUCUGACCCUGCAGACACCCGCAGCCCUGUGCAUCCCUUGUUAGACACCCCCAGGACCCCAAGGUCAGCUGCACUGAAGCACAUGCUGCUCUGCACGAAUGCCAGCCAGAGAAGCCCCCACACCCAACAGGACAGGUGAGCAUCAAGACAAAGAGGAUCUUGUGGUCCUCCUGAUCAGUGUGUAGGGUAUGUGGGACAGGAAGCACUGUUCCAGGGAGAAAUCAAGCAAAGGCAGGAGCCUUAGGGACCUUUGUAGCAGUUGUUGGCUCUGGCCAUCCGAGUUCUCUGGGACCAGCUUGUUCUGGGGAUGCAUAGGCCACUCUGAAUGGACUCUGGGUUCACUGCUCCAACAAGGGCUGUACUGAUCCUGCCUUGGGGCCCUGUUCUGGGGAGGACAGGGGACACUAGCUGGCUUCACCUGAGUGUGGAGGGACAGGGACCCCCACUCCUCACCCCUGUGCACUCAGCUGACCCCUUCCGGCCUCCCAGGAGGUGGCCAGAAUCGGAGGAGGGAAGAGGUACUGCUGACACCUCACUCUGGCCACAGACCAUAGCUAUGGUACAGGGCUGCACCAGCUUCUCUCAGAUGUUGCCCAAUGCUCACAAGGACCAUGAUGGGCAGAAGAGACAUCUGAUACCAGGCAACAUCUUUGCCCUGAUAACAGACAUUUGCUGAUAGAAAAAAUGGAGUUAAUUCCAGGGCCUUGGGUCAUUUCCACAAUGUCUACACUCAAGGUGGAGUCUGGAAACAUGGUAAUGCACACCUGCUUAUGGGGCCCCAGUGACCAGGAGAGCAUCCGCCAGACAGGUCAGCCAUAUACUAUAAAAGCACUUUCCUGUGUGCUGAGCCUGUGCCAUAAGAAAUUGGACUUGGAGUCCUUGCAGACUUGGGUUCAGUGGCCUGGGGAACUGUCACUGGUGGACCAUCCCAGGGACGAUAGGACCCCAUCAUGCCCCCAGUCCCAGGAGAACUGAGUGGGCUGUGUGAAGGGCUCAUAAAGCCUGAGGUCUGUGUGCACACGGAUCUGUGCAGGAGCAGCAGUUGUGUUUAGGACACCUCUCUUCCAUAAUCAGGGGUCUGUCUGCAGUGGGACUUGGCCUAGAACUCAAGGCCCUGAAGCAGGAGGAACACAAGUGGGGGGAGAGAGGCUGAUCGACACUGGGCCUCAGACCUGGCUACGUCCUGCGGUCCACACUCACCACAGCCUGGGGAUGGCACUGCGCUCAGGUACCUCCAGGUCUCCUGGUGUCAGCACUUUGCCUGCUCCUCCCCCGGCCUCCACACACUUCUUCCUGAGAUGCUGCGGGCCCACAGUUGGCCUCCAGCUGGAGCCAGUGGGGAAACAGAGGUAAGCAGAGGCCCCGCUCUGACCCCUGGAAUCAGCAGCUCGCCCUAGGGCACAGGGCUCCCCCCAGUCUCCUUGAUGCCACCAAGAAAGGCGACUAAGAGACACCACUGGGUAGCCCAUUCCCAAGGUUGCGGACCUGAGUUCUAGAGGUUUGCCUGGCCUAUUGUGGCUGGGCUGCAUGGCCAGGACCAGGAUACUGCUACAGCACAGAUCUGUGCCCAGGAGCUGCCCGAUGGCCAACGCCAGCCCUUGUACACAAAACUGUUCAGAAGAUCAGCAUGAAAAAUACUGCACACUAAUCAAAGUGAGGGUGAUCUGUCUAGAGAGAUGGAGCAUGCCGGGAGAAAAAGCUUGCUCGGUGGCUGUGAGAGUCUCCGAGGAAGGCAGCGAUGGCUGAUGAUCUGCCCACGGAAUCAUCCCUUCACCCAUUCAGUCUGCACCAGUCUCCUGUGAGCCCAGCUACCACUCGGGAUGCGUGAUGGCGAGCCCGGGCCGUAGAAGGGGUUCUCCAGGCACGCAGUGGGCUGAGGCCAUGUGUUCAAGACCCCAUCCUCCAAAUGCCCUCUUGGGCUGCCCUCACUCCACGGCUGUGCUGGGAGUGGGGCUCCCUGCAGAUGUCACCUCUCCAUAGGCACCGACUGUGCUGUAUUCUACUCAGGCCCCUGCUGAGCGCUGGGCUGUGCUCUGUCCCAUCUCCAGGCCUGAGGUUGUGAUCUGACUUGGAAACAGGCUCUUGCAGGUGUAAUCAGGUUAGGGUGCAGUCACAGUGGGUUAUGGCGGGCACUUAUCCAGCAUCUAGUGUCUUUAUACGGAGCAAAGAUUUGACAUAGAGCCAGACCGGAAGCUCAGGUAUAGGCGAGAAUGAUGUAGUCUUAAUCAAGGGACGUCUGGAGGCCCAGAAGCUGGAAGAGGCAGAGGGAUCCAUCUCUGGAGGCUGUGGAGGAAGCGUCCUACCAGAACCACACUUUGGGCCCAGGGUUCUGGGUCCCAGGACUUGAGAGAACAGCUUCUCGUGCUUGAGGCCACUGUGUCUGUGCUGUUAUGGUGGCCCCAGGGGACACACAGCUCCACGGAGGGAGCCCUGCUGAAGAUGGCUAGGACUCGUGCUGCUGGAGCCUGCACAUGGGGCUGGGGCUGCAGGGACCCAGCUGGCCACCCAGCUCAGCCUCCCCUGCCCAGCCUUCUCUGCCCCUCUCCCUAACUCUGGCCACACAGCCUUGCACAGCCUAUGGUGUAAGCAGGAGGCACGGCACCCACCCAGCCAGGUAGGGGCACCUGGGAAGCAGGGGCCACCUCAGCACGGGUGGAGAAGGCUGUGCAUGGGGAGAGGCAACACUGCAAGCCGCACCUCCCUCAGGGCACUGCUGUCUGCCAUCUCACUACCUGUCCUGCCUGGAGCCCGGGCCUCCCCACCUAUCUGCUGAACAUGACUGUGUGGUUUACUUCUUCAGCAGUUGAGAGGAGUUGUCACUUAGGAAGAGGCACCAGGAUUGCACAGGGAGGCCCCUGGAGGGCAGCAAGGAACCCUCAAAGUCUCACUCAUUACUUUGUAAGAUGAGGUUCAGCUAUUACAGUGAAGUACCAGAACCUCAGGUGCAUAGCUCCAUGGGUCCUGGCAUCAGUAGAUCCCGAAGCCCCAAGACCAAGGUGGAAUAUCUCUAUCUGUACCCAGAUAUACACUCCAGGCAGGGCCCUUUGUCUCUCCCCUGCCUGUGACCCUUGGUCCUUGCUGCCCAGCCUCUGCCCCCAAGGGACCCUAACUGUGGCAUCUGGAGCCAUAGGCCCCUGCAUGGUGUGUUCAGCAGAUGAGUGGAUGGCUCUGGACUGGCCUGGCUGCUCCUGGGGCCCAAUAUCUGCUCAUCCCAGCUUAGAGAUGGGGCUGGGAGCCCCCACUAUCCCAGCGAGGCUGAAGCUCCUGCAUCUUCCUCCAGGGAGGGCACCUGGGGACAGGGCAGGCCCUGCACUGGGGUACAUGGCCUGGGCCCUCUAGGCUGAGACUGUGCCCUUGUCACUUAAUCUUUCACCCUUCACCCAGCUGGCCCUGUGAGGGGGGGUGGAGAGGCUCUACUAGCCUCAGUGCCACCAGCCGUGGAGGCCCCAGGACCUCCUUAGCAUGGAGAGCGGCCUGGCUGGCCCAGCAGCUACUCACAGGAGCCUCAACAAGGGGACAAGGAAGGACACAGCUUUGUAGCCCUGGGUGGCUUCCCUUUCUGUCCCCAGCCCUGAGGCUGCUUUGAAGUUCCGCUUGCUUUGAGGGCACUAAUCUUGCUCAGCAUGUGGCCCCCUUCUGCCAGCACUGAUCCCGAGACUUGGCUGGCAUCCAGAUGAUGACCAUGGUGGCCUGGCCAGCAGCAGCAGCAGCAGUAGACUAUUGCAUUCCUAAGUUCACAGGCAGCUGUGAUCAAGGGGAUCUGAGAAGACAGAGCUGGCACCAGAGAUGCAGCCUGCUACGGCUUCUCACUGCCCUGAAGUCAGGGGCUAUCUGAGCUGCAGGGGCAUUGGGCUUCUGAAGUCAAUCAGGCUGCUUCUCUGGGAGUGGCAGGGCUGAGGCUCAUGUAACCUGAAGUCCCAAAGUGGCCUGCACACGUCUUUCUGCUUCUCUUGAUGCUGCCAAACACCACCCAGAAAGACUGGCAAAUGUGUAUUCUCACCAGUACCUGUCGAGAGACCUCCAGAAGGAAUUAGAUGAAAAUAAAGUAAACCACAGUUGGACCAGAAGAGCAGCACCUUGCGGUGACUGCAAACCUUUCUGGCCCAACUUGUUUUGUGUUUAGGAAUCUGUUUCACCUUUCACCACCUUUCCCUGGGCACCAUACUCUGUCACAGGUGAGAGCCAUUUCUUCCAUCUGUGCUACACUUACUCUCCCGCUUACCCUGGGUCCACUUAAGUGUUUUUGAUUUAUGAUGGUGGUAAAAGCAGUAUACGUUCAGUAGAACACACACUUGGAAUUUUUGCUCUGUGCUGCUGGGGAUGCCAGGGCACGUUCUGCCCGAGCUACUCCCAGUCUCUGAAUUUCCCUGUUUUCCUGGGAUCGUCCCCUGCUACUGUGUACUUUCUAGGGCACCAGAGCUCCUAGGCAGCCCAGCGUCACAGGGGAAAAGGCAUGCUCCGGUGUGUCAUGCUGGAGCGAGGGCGUUUGGGGUCGGGGCAUCCAGCGCACUUUCUGCCUAGGGCAUCUUCCAUUUUCAAUGAGAACAGCACCCGGCGCGGAGUCAGAUGUGUCAGCUGUUGGUUUCUCAGACUGGGUUUGUGCUCACAGCUUUCUUUCUCUCUUUGACCUGGGUUAAAUAUUUACCUAUGAUUCUUCUUCCUUCUCUCCAACUUUCGCUCUUGGGGUCUACUCUGUAAUCCCUAGGGAAUUUAACUUGGAACACACAGAAGUAAGGCUCCAACUUGUAUUUUCACACAUACAUGGCGAAUUUCCCCAGCACUUCUACUGGUCUGAAAAACUCCCAAUUUGGAAUUCGAUUCUUACAAACAUCACGGUACAUUUCAGAGCCACCUGGUCUGUCUCAUUGGUCAGAAAACAACAGCAACAAGAGCAGACAUUUGUUGGGUUUUAAUUCUGUGCCUAGGACUUUGCUCUGCAUGGCCUUUACCUCACUGCAGCAGGAGGA